AAUUCUCAACCAUUCAAGUUUUUCUUGUUUGGCUUGGUUAUGAGGGAUGCGGGCUUCAACAAGUCGGCUCUCUUGAAAUGCAUUAGCUGGGAACUAGUAUAUGGUUCAAGUGCAUUGAUGCUUGAAGACCUCCUAGUGUGAUAAUUAUCUACGCUGUUGGUUUAGUCUUUGCUUUAUUGACCUUAGAACAAGCCUGCUUCUAAUUGUCUACUCUGUAGACUAAUCCUCAUGGAUUAUAAUGACUA
rnacentral:misc_RNA from 1 species